UGGGGAAUCUUGGACAAUGGGGGCAACCCUGAUCCAGCGACGCCGCGUGGACGACGAAGGCCUUCGGGUUGUAAAGUCCUUUUCUCGGGGAAGAUGAUGACGGUACCCGAGGAAUAAGCACCGGCUAACUCCGUGCCAGCAGCCGCGGUAAGACGGAGGGUGCUAGCGUUGUUCGGAUUUACUGGGCGUAAAGGGCGCGUAGGCGGCUAAUCAAGUUGGGUGUGAAAGCCCGGGGCUCAACCUCGGAACGGCACUCAAAACUGGUUGGCUUGAGACCGAGAGAGGAGAGUGGAAUACCCAGUGUAGAGGUGAAAUUCGUAGAUAUUGGGUGGAACACCGGUGGCGAAAGCGGCUCUCUGGCUCGGAUCUGACGCUGAGGCGCGAAAGCGUGGGGAGCAAACAGGAUUAGAUACCCCCGUAGUCC
rnacentral:rRNA from 1 species